GCGGAAAGAAAAAACUGAGCAAGAGGGAAACAGAGGAGAGUUUGAGGAAAAAGGAAAGGGCAGGGAGUAAGAGGACGGUUGAGAGGUUUUGGAGUUGACGGCUAGUGAGGAAACUGAGAAGGUGAGCGGAGAGCAAGAGGGAGAGAGCAAGAGAGAAGUGGCUACGUUCAGUAAAAACAGAGCAAAGGGAGGGACCGAAGGAGUUUUUGGGAAAAAGUGACGGCUGGAAAAUUAGAAAAGGUGACAGCUGAGGUUUGAAGGAGGGGGAAUCAAGAGGGUAUCUAGGGACGGCUGCAAAUAGGGCAAAAGAAGGAGCUAGGAAGGGAGGCCACGGUCAGGAAGCGAAAAGAGACAGCUUCAGAGCUGGGAAACUAGGCUGGGAAGGAGGGUAGAGUACACCGAAAGAGCCGAGAGAGAAACUGCCGAGUGAGGAAGAAACGGGCAACUCAACGAGAAGCAGAUGGGAAUCUUAUCAACGGGAAACUAAGGAGAAAGCCAGCAAGAAAGGUUACUGGAGCCGAAGUAGAGACCGAGGCUUUCACGUUUUCUCCAUCGCUCACCCGAAUCCAAACUCAAGAUUUCAGGUAUAUUCUUGAAAACUGAUUUCUUAGUUUCUCCGAUGUUUCCUUCAUGACUGAGCUGGGUUUUUGCGUUUGUUUUCUAUUUGCUGUUCAUGUCACUGUUGAUGCUUCAAUCGUUGCUGAGUUAGGGGGGUUCCAGUUGUCUCUAUGGUUUUGAUCUUGUUUAGGGAGUGUUUAUCGCCAGAUUUUAGUAGAAAAUGAAUUGGAACUCUUGGGUUUUAUGGGCUUUGUUGAUUCACUGGGUUUGUUAUAUUGGAUAGAAGUUGCAGAAAAUAGCCAAAGUUUGCAUCCUUUGCUUUCCGGAUUUUCUGGGGGGAGGAAGACAGGGAUUGAACUUAUGAUUUCGCUGUUUGAUCUAAAGUAGAUUGGGUUGAAGUUCUGGGGCAUUCAGUGAGGCAUUUCCAGGUUUCCUUGGGUCAUGUAAAUGUUUGUAAACAUGCUGGAUUUGCAAAGAGGAAGCUGCGUGAAGUCUGUUGUGUGUUCUUUUAGU
rnacentral:lncRNA from 1 species